rnacentral:rRNA from 1 species
UGCGUAGGCGGUUCCGUAUGUCAGAUGUGAAAGCCCACGGCUCAACCGUGGAACUGCAUUUGAAACUGCGGUACUAGAGUGCAGGAGGGGAGAGCGGAAUUCUUGGUGUAGCGGUGAAAUGCGUUGAUAUCAAGAAGAACACCGGUGGCGAAGGCGGCUCUCUGGAAUGCUACUGACGCUGAGGCACGAAAGCUGGGGGAGCAAACA